rnacentral:lncRNA from 10 species
GCCAAGAGAAGAGGCAGUGCAUGGCUGGUCCUGGUACAUUAGGAGCCCAAAAAGAGGUCUCAUGAAACAGACCCAGGCUGGGAGGCAGAGUUCCAGCUGAGUGUUGUCCAUGUCUCUGAGUGCCAUCCAGUCAUCGGUUCUGAGUGUGAGUAACUGUGGAGGGAAUUCAGCUGCUGCAGAGGAAGGAGCUGCCACAACUGGGACCUUGAGGCUGAGGCUUAGCCAGCCUGAAUGAUGGAGAUGCCACCCUGAUGACAUGCUUGGAAAGCCAGCACUGCAGCUUCUGUUGGCACAAUUCAACUGCCAGAUGGGACUCCCUACCAGGCUCUCCCCCAAGGGCACAGUAAUCUUUGGCAACUGUCUGGGCAUGGAAGAGGCAUGCUCACUAAUGGACAAGUUCAUCAAGCCCUCUGCUCUGCUCUUUGAUGUGUCUAAAUUCAGAACAUCCCCACACUGGCGCCUCAUGGAUAAGGUUUAAGGCAGGAAGGGUCCAGGUGGGCUGGAGUCCCUACAUUAAUCUGCAGCCCUCAAGUGGCCCUGCUUUCCAGAUGGGCAGGGUGAGGGGUAUGAGGCAGCAUUAAUGUGGAGCAGGAAAGGAGCCUUUGUGUCUCCUGGUGUGAUCAUGAGGCAGGUCGGAUUCAGGAAGACCAGCCUGUGGAACCUCAGGCUCUGCCCAAGCAGCACCACCCUGCAUUCCAGGCUGCCACAGCAAACCCAGCAAAGGCAGUGCCUGAGAGAGCUCAUCCUUACCAUCUGGGAGUCACUGUGUUCCUGAUCCUUCCCAGUUCGGAGACCCUGUGGACAUUGUGAUGAGGCUCCAAAACUGGCCCCACCACACGGAGACAUCUGCCAGUGGGCGUCUUGCUGCUGCUCUGAGGAGUGUAGGGCCUGGGCCUUCCCUGUGAGAAGGAGGCGUUCUGGUCAUCACAACAGAAUGCAGUGAGGGGCAAAGCCUGUGGCCCCAGAGAGCCAGUUGCUUGGCCUCGGGAGGCCUCCAUGUUUCCAUGGGUUUACAUCAUGGAGAAUCUCUGGCCACAUGUUUAAGGUGAAGGAGCACAAAUGAUGAUUGUGAGCAUUUGCUCAACAUGAUUUACCACCCUUGGCCUAUUUUGUGCCUGCCAGUUGCUGUUCUAGAAGCUGGAGACAUAGGAUGAACGUGGUAGGAAAGCUACAGCCUACGGAGGAGCAAUUUACUCAACAGACUUCUCCCUGAGCCACAGGGACCUCAGCAGCGAGCCCGGCAAGGAUGCCAUCCAUCGGCCUCUGUCAGCCGUGGAACUCAUGGAUUAUUUCUAUUCUUUUCCUUAGACUUUUAACUGCAUUCUGAAUAGCAACUCAUCUGAGGAGGAGAAUAUUCUAGACUUUGCUUAAGAUCUGAUUCUCCCUUUAACCUGUCCUAUGAAAACUGAGCCUGUUAUUGGAUUCUCCAGACUGUUUUCUUCAUGGGAAAUGGGGAUAAGAAUUUCUGCCUGCUGGGGAACUGAGCACAAUAUAACUAUGAAAAUGCUAAAAAUAUACCAUUCUUCUCAAAGGAGUUGAGAUCACCUAAAACAAAUGACAUAGCCACAGUAUAGUCAGUAAAGCAGAACUAGAGUGUGGAAAAUCAGGAACUAGGGAAGAAAGACAGAGACACUAAUGGGCUUUAAGAGGUUGAGCAGCAAAACCUAAAAAUCCUUGACAUCAAGUGAUGUCCAGUUAAUGAAAAGAGGAGAUCCUCACAACAUAUCCAGACACGGAAAGUUCUUUUUCCUUCCACAGGAUAGCUUUGGCAUAAAGAGGAACAUAUUUCACAGAGUUUAUGAAGGACAGUUUGUCUCCAGAAGUUUCUGCAUGUGCUCAGCCUUCUGCGGCAGCAAAUAGCAGUAGGCAUAUGUGGAACUCUCUGCAGAGAUCUUCAGAAGACUCAGCCCUCUGCAGUAUGAACUGUGAACAAUGAUGGCGGGAGAUUCUCUGUUUGUCAAAACCAACCAAGGGCAGGGACUAGUCCCAGCUGAGCUGGCGUGGAGCUUCAGAGAAAUGGAGUUUAACUGUGGCCAUCAGAGGAAUUUCUAUUUCAGAAUUACUUAGAAGAAGAAUUCAAUCUGGGUCAGAGGGCAGGCUCUGGAAAGGUGGGCUUUCUGAGAGGCAGGAAGGUGGGGAGGAGCAAACACUGUGUUCAGGGACCCCUGAGUACAAGCAGUGCUUUCUCCCCACCUCCCCUUCCAGGUCUGGGGUUUGGUUUUAGAGCAGGGAGGACCAGGAGUGGGUAGACACCCAACAUUCGUAUGCACAGCCACGUAAUGUGGUCAUCAGCACUGUCCUGCUGAGCUGCCCUGGCCACAUGCUGAGCUGCCGCCACUACAUGCUGAGCCGCCCCCGCCACAUGCUGAGCCGCCCCUGCCCCCACGUGCUGGGCUUUGGGAUGUCCCUACCAUGGGCCCAUCCCCUCAGUCCGCUCAUGUGGGCCACUGUCCAAACCACUGGCCUGGUCUCUUCAGAAGUGUCCAGGCGGCGAAGGACAGUGAAGGCUGAGAAGGCACACUCCAGAGGAAAAGUGGACAGAGCCACGCGGCAAGCAAAGGUAACACUCCACGCACGCAUGGGCCCCAGACAGGGCAGAAAGACUGAUCAUUGGCAUCUCUGAGAAAACUGACAAAGAAUGAUUAGAUGGUAGUAUUAAUGCUAAGUUUCCUGAGUUUUGAUUAUUAUACUGUGACUAUGUGAUAGGAAGGGCCCUUGCUCUCAGGCCAUAUGUUGAAAUAUUUAGGGAUAAAAAAUGACAUUACCUAUGCACACAGAAAGUUAUACUGGGCUGGAAUGCACACGGUUGGUGAGUGGAGCUAAAGGGCAUAGAUGUAAAUUGUCUUAAACUUACCGAAAAUUUGCGGAUUUAGGACAAAGAGCUCCUACAUACCCUUUACCCUCAUUCACCAAUUGUGUACAUUUUGCCGCACCAUUUUCUGUGUGUACAUAUGUAAUAUUAUUUUACAUACGAUUCUUAUUUGUCAAUUAUAUCUCAAUAAAACUGGA